rnacentral:rRNA from 1 species
ACGCUGGCGGCAGGCCUAACACAUGCAAGUCGAGCGGUAGAGAGAAGCUUGCUUCUCUUGAGAGCGGCGGACGGGUGAGUAAUGCCUAGGAAUCUGCCUGGUAGUGGGGGAUAACGUUCGGAAACGGACGCUAAUACCGCAUACGUCCUACGGGAGAAAGCAGGGGACCUUCGGGCCUUGCGCUAUCAGAUGAGCCUAGGUCGGAUUAGCUAGUUGGUGGGGUAAUGGCUCACCAAGGCGACGAUCCGUAACUGGUCUGAGAGGAUGAUCAGUCACACUGGAACUGAGACACGGUCCAGACUCCUACGGGAGGCAGCAGUGGGGAAUAUUGGACAAUGGGCGAAAGCCUGAUCCAGCCAUGCCGCGUGUGUGAAGAAGGUCUUCGGAUUGUAAAGCACUUUAAGUUGGGAGGAAGGGCAGUAAAUUAAUACUUUGCUGUUUUGACGUUACCGACAGAAUAAGCACCGGCUAACUCUGUGCCAGCAGCCGCGGUAAUACAGAGGGUGCAAGCGUUAAUCGGAAUUACUGGGCGUAAAGCGCGCGUAGGGUGGUUCGUUAAGUUGGAUGUGAAAUCCCCGGGCUCAACCUGGGAACUGCAUUCAAAACUGACGAGCUAGAGUAUGGUAGAGGGUGGUGGAAUUUCCUGUGUAGCGGUGAAAUGCGUAGAUAUAGGAAGGAACACCAGUGGCGAAGGCGACCACCUGGACUGAUACUGACACUGAGGUGCGAAAGCGUGGGGAGCAAAC